rnacentral:rRNA from 1 species
GGGUGUGAGAGCAGAGCCCGGAGACGGAAUCUGAGACAAGAUUCCGGGCCCUACGGGGCGCAGCAGGCGCGAAACCUUUACACUGCACGCCAGUGCGAUAAGGGGAUCCCGAGUGCACAGGCAUAGAGCCUGUGCUUUUCUGAACCGUAGGGAGGUUCAGGAACAAGAGCUGGGCAAGACCGGUGCCAGCCGCCGCGGUAAUACCGGCAGCUCGAGUGAUGGCCGAUCUUAUUGGGCCUAAAGCGUCCGUAGCUGGCCUUGCAAGUCCGUCGGGAAAUCCACCCGCUCAACGGGUGGGCGUCCGGCGGAAACUGUGAGGCUUGGGACCGGGAGGCUUGAAGGGUACGUCCGGGGUAGGAGUGAAAUCCCGUAAUCCUGGACGGACCGCCGAUGGGGAAACCACUUCAAGAGAACGGAUCCGACAGUGAGGGACGAAAGCUAGGGUCUCGAACCGGAUUAGAUACCCGGGUAGUCCUAGCUGUAAACGAUGCCUGUUAGGUGUGACUCCCACUACGAGUGGGUGUUGUGCCGUAGGGAAGCCGCUAAACAGGCCGCCUGGGAAGUACGUCUGCAAGGAUGAAACUUAAAGGAAUUGGCGGGGGAGCACUACAACCGGAGGAGCCUGCGGUUUAAUUGGACUCAACGCCGGACAUCUCACCAGCAUCGACUGUGGUAAUGACGGUCAGGUUGAUGACCUUACCCGAGCCACAGAGAGGAGGUGCAUGGCCGCCGUCAGCUCGUACCGUGAGGCGUCCUGUUAAGUCAGGCAACGAGCGAGACCCGCAUCCUUACUUGCCAGCAGCACCGUGAGGUGGCUGGGGACAGUAGGGAGACCGCCGUGGCUAACACGGAGGAAGGAACGGGCAACGGUAGGUCAGUAUGCCCCGAAUAUGCUGGGCAACACGCGGGCUACAAUGGCCGAGACAAUGGGUUCCAACGCCGAGAGGCGACGGUAAUCUCAGAAACUCGGUCGUAGUUCGGAUUGUGGACUGAAACUCGUCCACAUGAAGCUGGAUUCGGUAGUAAUCGC